rnacentral:rRNA from 1 species
CAGCAGCAGCCGCGGGAAUACGGAGGGUGCAAGCGUUAAUCGGAAUUACUGGGCGUAAAGCGUGCGUAGGCGGCUUUUUAAGUCGGAUGUGAAAUCCCUGAGCUUAACUUAGGAAUUGCAUUCGAUACUGGGAAGCUAGAGUAUGGGAGAGGAUGGUAGAAUUCCAGGUGUAGCGGUGAAAUGCGUAGAGAUCUGGAGGAAUACCGAUGGCGAAGGCAGCCAUCUGGCCUAAUACUGACGCUGAGGUACGAAAGCAUGGGGAGCAAACAGGAUUAGAUACCCGGGUAGUCCCUGUCUCUUAUAC